rnacentral:rRNA from 1 species
AUUGAACGCUGGCGGCAGGCCUAACACAUGCAAGUCGAACGGUAACAGGAAGAAGCUUGCUUCUUUGCUGACGAGUGGCGGACGGGUGAGUAAUGUCUGGGAAACUGCCUGAUGGAGGGGGAUAACUACUGGAAACGGUAGCUAAUACCGCAUAACGUCGCAAGACCAAAAAGGGGGACCUUCGGGCCUCUUGCCAUCGGAUGUGCCCAGAUGGGAUUAGCUAGUAGGUGGGGUAACGGCUCACCUAGGCGACGAUCCCUAGCUGGUCUGAGAGGAUGACCAGCCACACUGGAACUGAGACACGGUCCAGACUCCUACGGGAGGCAGCAGUGGGGAAUAUUGCACAAUGGGCGCAAGCCUGAUGCAGCCAUGCCGCGUGUAUGAAGAAGGCCUUCGGGUUGUAAAGUACUUUCAGCGGGGAGGAAGGGAGUAAAGUUAAUACCUUUGCUCAUUGACGUUACCCGCAGAAGAAGCACCGGCUAGCUCCGUG